CAUCUGGCUGCCAUAUUUUGGUCUGGGGAGAUUUUCAGUUCAGUUUGCAGGUGGCUGAGAAUGUGUACAAAGUGUCAGUGGGAUUUGGCUGUAAUGACUAUACUGUUGAUGCAGGUGGGACAAGAUGCAUUUGAGUAGACAGUUCAAACUGUUGUCUUGAUAGUACAUCAUGCUGUUUUUUCUGGAAAGUAUCCCACCAUAGCUGCUUUUACAGGGAAGGACAG